GGCCUGGUAGUGGAUGGCCCGCACCUGCUUUCAAUAUCUGAUCCUAAGUAAUCUAUGCAGGACCUGCUCGUUCGAAUCGAGCCCGGGCCA